AGAGUUUGAUCCUGGCUCAGGAUGAACGCUAGCGGCAGGCCUAACACAUGCAAGUCGAGGGGCAGCGGGUAAGUAGCUUGCUACUUAUGCCGGCGACCGGCGGACGGGUGCGUAACGCGUAUGUAACCUACCUUUGACAGGGGGAUAACAUCGAGAAAUUGGUACUAAUACCCCAUAACAUCACCGGAGGCAUCUUCGGUGGUUGAAAACUCAGGUGGUCAGAGAUGGACAUGCGUUGUAUUAGCUAGUUGGUGAGGUAACGGCUCACCAAGGCGACGAUACAUAGGGGGACUGAGAGGUCAACCCCCCACAUUGGUACUGAGACACGGACCAAACUCCUACGGGAGGCAGCAGUGAGGAAUAUUGGUCAAUGGACGCAAGUCUGAACCAGCCAUGCCGCGUGCAGGAAGACGGCUCUAUGAGUUGUAAACUGCUUUUGUACGAGGGUAAAUCCCGAUACGUGUAUCGGGUUGAAAGUAUCGUACGAAUAAGGAUCGGCUAACUCCGUG
rnacentral:rRNA from 1 species